rnacentral:rRNA from 1 species
UACGGAGGGUGCAAGCGUUAUUCGGAAUCACUGGGUUUAAAGGGUGCGUAGGCGGCACUGUAAGUCAGGGGUGAAAGACUGCAGCUCAACUGUGGAAUUGCCUUUGAUACUGCGGUGCUAGAAUGAGAUUGAGGUAAGCGGAAUGUGGCAUGUAGCGGUGAAAUGCAUAGAUAUGCCAUAGAACACCAAUUGCGAAGGCAGCUUGCUAGAUCUUGAUUGACGCUGAGGCACGAAAGCGUGGGGAGCGAACAGG